UCCGGGCACUUUUAAAAUGCAAUAUUCUUGCCUUCUGGGUAGUAAACAAAGUGUGCAGAUGGAUAAUGACAUCUGUGGAUUCUGGCUCCACUUCCUAGAGAGAAAAAAAACAUGUAAAUAAAUACGUAAAAAAUUGUCAUAUGUGGAUGACACCCUUGGUUCAUCCAGUAGUUACCAUUCUGCCUAACAUUCACGAGCUAUGGAUUCUAUUACUGGGUCCCUUGUGACUGCAUUACACUGAGAAAGUAAAAUAUAUUUCUCUUCAAUGCCUGAGGGAAGAUAAAUGUUAUAGAAAUGUUUAGUAAAAAGGUCCAGUCAGUGGCUUUGACACUUGAUGCUUUUGCACUAAGCAGUGCUGUCCUUUUGUUCUCUCCAUUGGAAGCCUCCUUGUAAAUGUUUAAUAGCUAAAUGACUCACCAGAGUCUGCAAAGGUCAGGCCCUUAACUGGAAAGGCAGAGGGGAACUCAGAAGCAGUCUCUAUCAGAUUGAUUGGAAGGUUCAUUUGAGAAUUCUUUCCUUCUCAUCCUUAGUUUAAGGUGCACAUGCAGCAUGAAUAACUGCCUGGGCUCCAGCCACCGACAUGCCUGAACAGCAGACAUUAGUGACUCUGACACUCUUCCUAGGAUUCAUUCAGGGUAUUAAUCAGCUUCAGAGGAAAACUCACAAACACUCUAAGAAGAAUUCUGUUGCAAAAGUGAUACCUAGCAGAGACAGUCUGCCCUUGCAGUCACUUGCAUUAUAUCCCAAAAGUCAAUGCUAAGAGCUUGCAAAAGAAUUUGAGUUCAUCAGGUGUCCAGAAAAUAAACUCCUUCAAAUGCAGUCGAAAUAGUUUCAAUAACUUCAAAUACUCUGCCUGUUAUGAAUCUACAGAGCAGCAAUUAAAUAAUUAUCAGUUAAUGAUUCAAUGUCAGAUACCUAUAACCAAGGGUGUCUUGCUAUUACACUGAAAAUUACAUAUUAAGGUUUUGCUGGGGUGCAGAAAAUGAUCCCCCAAAAUAUAGUGCUUCGGCAUGCCGAGUACUUUGAAAAUCGGAAGGUUUUAGAAAUCAGCCUUAGACCCAAGCUCUCUUUCUGACUUUCCUUACCUCCUUGUUUCUCUGAUCCUCUUUCUAGAAGCACCUGGAGGGACUGGACUGACUCUCUGGAAUUUUCUUAUCUAACAAAGCUUCUUUCCAAAAAAAAAAAGGCAAUUGUCUUAAGACCACCCCCCCCAUCUUUAGGAAUCUCAUCAAAUGACCAGGAAAGAAGCAAAGAGACGGAGUUGUCACUAUACCCAGAUAGACUACUCAUCUAUUCUCGAGGGCAGGUCUGACAACCUUUGUGCAAGGUGACGUUUCACUCCUCACCUUCCCAACACCUCCCCCAGAGCUCAGAGGAACUUUUGUCAUUUACUCCUACACACCUCAUCCCCGC
rnacentral:lncRNA from 1 species